UUUUCACCGCAAUCAUCAUGGAGUCAACAUCUUGGGACUUGGGACUUGGGACCACGGACCCUAGACAAUAUAAUCAUUUUGAUCUAAUUGUUGAAGGAGUACCUACUGCUUCAGCGCUGACCAAUUUGAAAUUUGUGUUGGUUAACUCGAGCAGUAAGAAUAUAUAAAAAUGGCUGCAGUUGGCAAAGAUUUAGAAAAACCAACAGAUGAGGUGCCUCAGGUCCAUCGCAUCCGUAUUAACCGAUUUAAUAAAUCGAGCCAAGAAACAAAAGCCGCGUGAAGGGACCAGUUCGCAUGCCAACGAAAAUUUUACGUAUUA